UCCCGAGUGCUUGCACUCAAUUGGAAAGAGGAGUGGCGGACGGGUGAGUAACACGUGGGUAACCUACCCAUCAGAGGGGGAUAACACUUGGAAACAGGUGCUAAUACCGCAUAACAGUUUAUGCCGCAUGGCAUAAGAGUGAAAGGCGCUUUCGGGUGUCGUUGAUGGAUGGACCCGCGGUGCAUUAGCUAGUUGGUGAGGUAACGGCUCACCAAGGCCACGAUGCAUAGCCGACCUGAGAGGGUGAUCGGCCACACUGGGACUGAGACACGGCCCAGACUCCUACGGGAGGCAGCAGUAGGGAAUCUUCGGCAAUGGACGAAAGUCUGACCGAGCAACGCCGCGUGAGUGAAGAAGGUUUUCGGAUCGUAAAACUCUGUUGUUAGAGAAGAACAAGGACGUUAGUAACUGAACGUCCCCUGACGGUAUCUAACCAGAAAGCCACGGCUAACUACGUGCCAGCAGCCGCGGUAAUACGUAGGUGGCAAGCGUUGUCCGGAUUUAUUGGGCGUAAAGCGAGCGCAGGCGGUUUCUUAAGUCUGAUGUGAAAGCCCCCGGCUCAACCGGGGAGGGUCAUUGGAAACUGGGAGACUUGAGUGCAGAAGAGGAGAGUGGAAUUCCAUGUGUAGCGGUGAAAUGCGUAGAUAUAUGGAGGAACACCAGUGG
rnacentral:rRNA from 1 species